UGGGGAAUAUUGCACAAUGGGCGAAAACCUGAUGCAGCAACGCCGCGUGAGUGAUGAAGGCCUUCGGGUUGUAAAGCUCUGUCUUUUGGGACGAUAAUGACGGUACCAAAGGAGGAAGCCACGGCUAACUACGUGCCAGCAGCCGCGGUAAUACGUAGGUGGCAAGCGUUGUCCGGAUUUACUGGGCGUAAAGGAUGCGUAGGCGGAUUUUUAAGUGAGAUGUGAAAACCCUAAGCUUAACUUGGGGACUGCAUUUCAUACUGGAAAUCUAGAGUGCGGGAGAGGAGAAUGGAAUUCCUAGUGUAGCGGUGAAAUGCGUAGAGAUUAGGAAGAACACCAGUGGCGAAGGCGAUUCUCUGGACCGUAACUGACGCUGAGGCAUGAAAAGCGUGGGUAGCAAACAGGAUUAGAUACCCUGGUAGUCCACGCCGUAAAACGAUGAGUACUAGGUGUAGGAGGUAUCGACCCCUUCUGUGCCGCAGUUAACACAAUAAGUACUCCGCCUGGGAAGUACGAUCGCAAGAUUAAAAACUC
rnacentral:rRNA from 1 species